ACAAAUCUCAGCUUUUUUUGCUUGGAUUUUGAAGACACCAAGAGUUUCGACGAAACCCUAACCAUUCGCCGAUUUUUCUCCGCCUCCACCGUUCGCGUCUGUCUCGCAGUCCUACAGCCUUCCGCUGGAACCUGGACUACUUUGAAUCCAUCUCAUGUGGCUAAAGCUCUAGCUGUUUGCUGUGUUUCAGCCAAGAGGAUGCUGAACUUUUCUUGCUCAGAGAAGAGAAUUGAAAACCAGUGCUAAGGUUGUUCCCACUAAUCUGGACCAGAUUUUAUUCAGAAAGUUUUUGGAAUAU